AUCGGUCUGAAGGGACGCUCUCUAACAAGACUGCUGAAGUAGUCUUGCUUUUCAGAAAAAUUGAAAAUAUGUUUCCUAUAUUAAUAGCUAUUUGUUUUACCCAGAAACACCACAAGUAGUAGGGUCAGUGCAACUGAAGAUAUGGAAGGGGGAAAAAAAACGCAUGUUGGGGAAGGUGAAAAUUCUCAGCCUGUUUUUGCUACUUCAAGUUUCUGAGCUAUAGUUACUACUGUUAUGACCACAGUUUUUCAAGGACUGCAGUAUUUUUCUAUUGCUAACAGGGAACAGGUUUUUGCUUUUUCAGUCAUUUGACUGAUAGGCACUAGUAGGAUAACUUUAUUAUUUAUGACUCCUAUACUUAUGCAGAAACACAAGUUCUCAACGGUUUUGAAUCUGCAAAUGGCAGUGAAGGAGUGAAACAACAACAAAAAAAACUUCAGGAUUUAUUACUUGAAGGCACUGCAAGCAAGACUGUACAAAGCUCCUUUUCCUGCAUCUUGCAGCUGCCUCUGAAGCUUCCCCUGGGCACAUCAUGCCACCAUGGGAACCAUGUGGUGGUCUCAUUACUCCAGAAUAGCUUGAAGGCAUCUAACACAGGCAUUGUUUUCUCCCCUGUUCCGCUUGAGAGUGAGCAAGUGGUUGUGUGGGUGUUUGCUUGUGGAGCCCCGUGA
rnacentral:lncRNA from 1 species